rnacentral:rRNA from 1 species
UACGGAGGGGGCUAGCGUUGUUCGGAAUUACUGGGCGUAAAGCGCACGUAGGCGGCUUUGUAAGUUAGAGGUGAAAGCCCAGGGCUCAACCCUGGAAUUGCCUUUAAGACUGCAUCGCUUGAAUAUCGGAGAGGUAAGUGGAAUUCCGAGUGUAGAGGUGAAAUUCGUAGAUAUUCGGUAGAACACCAGUGGCGAAGGCGACUUGCUGGACGAUUGUUGACUCUGAGGUGCGAAAGCGUGGGGAGCAAACAGG